UAUGAAUGGUGUAGGGAACUAUUAGGUCGAUUCGUUUUGAUUCAUUGAUUGCUACCCUGCGGACUUAACGUAAACAUUUAAAAUAAAUUAUUUAAUCUAAUCUUUGUUCAACAAAAUAAUUAAUGAUCUUCUAUUUUACUGACUUUCUUAUUAAAGUAAUGCCGGGAGAUCGAUUCAAUUGCGCGGGAAUCUAUAACCACCAAUCUUAUGUUAACAUUGAAGAUAUUGACCAAUCAGGACACGGUAUUUUGAUAAGUCCGAUGAGGGAUUGGUGAAAACAAGAGGGGGAAGCGGAUGUAAGACCGAGUGAGGGACCGUUAAGAGAGAAGGCAUAAAACAAAGGGAAAGGAGAUUUUAGGGGCUUUUUCCGUCGGCAGAGCGUCGAGACAGUAGGGAAUUCUGUGAGUGUUAGUUUGUAAGGAAAACGUGUAAUAAGCUUGUUCACAGAUACGAGGUCUAGCAUCCGCCAUCAGAAGAUUCAAAGGAUGAAGAAAACCAACGGCUGUGACGGGCGAGACAUUGCAUGCGGCAUGUCGUGGCAAACUGAGCGUUGGCGCGAAAGACAGCAUCAUGCCGCCAUGAGGUUUCAAAAGAGCUACGUUUCACUGGUUCCGGGGUUACUUGUAUCGAGAGGCCUUGAGGACCCUUCUACAUGGACAUGCGAGUCUACAUGGAUGUUCCUGGGUGCUCCAGCCUGCGUCACGUUAUCGUCCUCUUGGGCCGCAUACAAAAUACAUCAGGCCAAGGUGCUCCCCGUCGGCAUCUAGCCAAGGCGCCGUGACUAGGACGUGUAAAUGCAAAAUGGAGUAUUACCGAAAACAAUACAAACGGUGCGUUGGUUCUGAAUUGAUAUUUCUCUUAAUCAUGAUUGAUUGAUUUCAUAUUUUGUGUAAAAUUUGACAUACUCCCCUAGGUCAUCAUACUGAGCAUAAUCUAAGCCUGGAUCGUGCUGUAAACGGUAAUUUAUUAUUUAUUUAAUUAAGAGAAGUAAUUUAAUAUUGAUAUCCCAUUUAUGGUAUGAUUAUAAUUUAUAAUUAAAUAUCGAAAUGAUGAUCACUCUAGGGUGUAAAGGUAAUGCCCAUAUUCUUAACCAUCUUAUUACAUUGUGCAGUAUUUAUAGGUUUCACGUUUUAUUUUAAUCGGAACUAUCAAACUAAACUAAUAAAAUAAAAUAAAUAAAUAGAUAUUAUGGUACACUUUUACAGAUUAGUCCUGCUAGGUCGAAGGAUUGUCUUGUGGGAACUCAGACAAUGACUUAUAUAUAUAAAAUAUAAAUACUUACAUACAUAGAAAAUAUCCCUGACUCAGGAACAAAUAUUUAGAUAUGUUAUAAACACAAUUAUAUUUCUAUUUCCGGUUCACGAGCGGUUGCGGGUGCGAGCCUGAUGCCAUCGGCGACAUGCAGAGCUUUACUACGGCGCUACGAUGGGCCUCCUCUGCCACGACGGGCGUCAGACGCAAGCUUCUUUACAACGAGCUACGCGUGAGCCACUCCGUCUUCAUCGUCAUGAACCGUGAGAUCUUCGGACAGCGGCCGUCAACCCUGACGCUAUAGUCUAUGCGGCGACCUAGAUGAUUUACUUACUUGCGUAGAAUGUAACUAUACCGCGUGUUCCGAGAUUUUAGGCGGGGUAGUUUUGACGUUAGGUACGUUUUAUUUACUUAAAUGAUUAGAUUGAUUGCGGCAUAUUUGUUUAAGAUUAAGACACGUGUUAAGCAUAUUUGUAUAUUUCCAUUAUUGCGGUUCAGCCACACACGUAUUUAUUAAUGAUAAUUAUUGAUUUACAUGUCUAGUCAUUGACUGUGAAAGUAGACGUUUCUCAUGACAAAUGAAGUUAUUCCUGACUCUAUUAUUGAUAUUGCGAGACCCUUUGAUUAUCUGGUAAAGCCAUCUGUUUGAUAAUUAAUAAUAUUUGACACCUACUUAAUGAUCAUGAUAACGUAUUCAUUUUAGAUGUAAGAUGUUAGGUACCAUAUAGUUAUGUAGGCGUUUAUCCAAUAUAUUUCGUAUCCAAGUUCUAAUAUAGCAAUUCACAUUUAUUUCACUAUAAGAACAAUAUUCAAAUACACACGAGUACAUACAUAGCUUCAAGCUAUCCAUAUAUCUAUAUUUCGCACACGUUAAUUCAGCUUUGGCUGGUUGCGAAUCAUGAAUCAUUUGCAGUGCAUUACAAUGACAUUGCUAAGGUGUAAUGUUAUAUUUAUAUUAACGCAUCAUUCAUUAAACAGAUUGGCAUAGAUAUUUAUGGUCUUACGUAAAAUUCAAUUUCGAGUCAGCAUGAUUCGCAAACAGCUAUUAUGCUAUGAAAUUCAGGAGUCAUGAAAUGCUAUUGUGGGUGUGAUAUUCGAUCAUUCGAAUUUUAUACGUACCCAAUUCACGUGUCAUAUUGAAUCGUCAUUUGACUGAGACUAUAUUUAAUACAUAUUUAAUAAUUUUAGUACGCCCGAUACGUCCAUUCGAAAAGUAUAUUAUAUUUAUUUACUAACUAAUUUGUAGUUGUUGAAACCGGUCACAGUGGCUUUAUUAAACACGUGGCUGUUUUAACAAUGAGGUAUUUUAGUCGUUAUUGGAAUUGUCCUUAAGUUGAUUUAUUCCAGCAAUGACAAGGUUUUGAGAUUACCCAUAUUUAAUUAUUUGAAUGUCGCUAAGCAACGGUUUUCAUCCACGUUGAUGGAAUACGUCAUGUGUUUUAUUAUAGGGCCCGUCCUAGAUGUCUAAUAAAUGGUCAAACCUUUGGUCUGUCCUCACAGGUAUAUCCUGUGUAUGUGUGUGUUAUUAGGGGUGUCAAGUACAUUGUUUGUGUAAAUUUAAUAUUCAUACAAAACGUAUACAUGGCGCUCCCCUCUAGGGACAUGUUCCCGCUGAGGGACAUGCUACGAGUGUCAGUAUUGCUGCUCAUCGGGAUGUGGCGAGAUCCGUAUUAAUGACGGCUAUGUCUUUCCAGAUCCUUCUGAGACGUUUAUUGUCCUCACAGGACGAGAAGUUUGGGUAUUUCAUUUGCUGGUAUAAGCUAGCUUGUAUUGGAGUCAAUGUAAUACUCAAAUGAUUGGUGGUCUGUUUAUCUUAAAUUUUAUUAGACAACUAAACGACAUUGAGGAUUGCUUCGGUAUGACUCGGUGUUGGGGACAACCAACCGUGUUUUAUUUAGUAUGAUUCAACAUGGAUUUAAACCGUAUUUUACACACUUAGCUUUUCUUAUUUUAAUGGGUAAAGGUAACAGAUUCUUAUUCAACUGGCAUAAUUUAAUAAACAGUUAUAUUGCGCGAUGUUACAGUUGAUAACAUAAUGAAAUGGCUGAUCUCAUGAUAUCAAGGGCAACGCUUAUAUUAUUGUCUUGUUUAUGAUCGUUCAUGGGUGCUCAUGUCACAUACUUAUUUACUUAUUUGGUCCCAGUUUCAGUACUCGAUAGUCUGAACCUUGCGUGAAAUAUUCCAUGUAGGCGACGGGUCUACGGUAUUGCAGACGGUGCGGGUCCAAGUGACUAUAAUACCAUACGUAUGGAUACUUUCACGUAGGGACUUGCGGCUCCGACAUAUUAACAGCACCCAUAGUAACGAUAUAUGCAUGAUAAUUUUAUGAGAUCUCAAGGUUUGCUUAAAGUUGACUGCAACCAGCUAUUUUAUAUAACGAUAUAAGUUUAUUUUAAUAUAGUCGUGAUAAGCCAGAUUUAUCCAUCGAUUUUAUGGAUUUUAUGACAUAUUUGUGUUAUUGAUACUUCAAUCAAAAUAAACACUAAUCUAUUUUAUAUAUUAGCUGAAGAAUAUUUCAGUGCAAUAUAUUUUAGAAGUAUAUAAAUCUGAGUCCAUCUGGUUUUAAUUAAGUUAUACUUUCAUUCGCGUAAUGUUUCAAUGAUACCAUAAUGAAAUGGCUGAUCUCAUGAUAUCAAGGGCAACGCUUAUAUCAUUGUCUUGUUUAUGAACGUUCAUGGGCACUCAUGUCAUAUAUCAUACUUUUAUGUCCCGGUUUCAGUACUUGAUAGUCUGAACCUUGCGUGAAGUAUUCCAUGUAGGCGACGGGUCUACGGUAUUGCAGACGGUGCGAGUCCGAGUGACUAUAAUACCAUGCGUAUGGAUACGUUCACGCUAGGGACUUGCGGCUAGACAUAUUCGUAAUGCCCAUGAACGACUUAUGCAUGAUAAUUUUAUGAGAUUUCAAAGCUUGCCUUAACGUUGACUGCAACCAGCUAUUUUAUUUUAAGAUAUAAAUAUUCGUUGGCCUAAUCGUGAUUAGCCAGAUUUAUUCGUCGAUCGUAUCGACAUUAUAACAUACUUAUAUGUUAUUCAACUUCAAACUCAACAAUGCUAACAUAUUUUAUGUAUUAUCUGCAUAAUUUUACCUAAUUUAAUUGAAUUAUUUCCCAGUUGGUCUUCCCAGGUUAAUCAUUUAAUAUCUUCAUGGUUUUCUUAUCAUAAUAUCUCCCACAAUAGCAUUUUAUAAGAUUUUAGUUUCGUUGAUUAUGCCAUAUAGUUAGGAGUAUAGAAUUAUACAUUUGUCUGUAAUUAAUAAUUAAUUAAGUCACCUCUAGGAUACGUAUAAUGCUUGUUAGAACAUAUCACUGUUUAUAUCGCUAGCAUGUCUCACACCUCAGGAGCUUUGGUUACUAGUUGCCAUAACGUAGUCCAUAUUACCCUAGAUGAUUUUGCCAUAUAUUGUUUGUGUAUUUUAAUAUGCUUUACUUCUUUAUCCGUAACAUAUUUUAUUAUGCUUGUGUACAGGUUAAACUUGGGCAGUCAGGUUUUUGUUUCCGUCUACUUUUCCUGACGUAGGGACUUGGCCCUAGUAAUGAAGGCGGUGUAUUCAAAUAGGUCCUAAUCAGACUAAAUUGAAUACAGAGUUAUAGUAAUUAUUUUCUGACAAAAAUAUAAAUGAUUAUAGAUACAAUAAAUCGAAAUGUUUUAGUAUCCAA